rnacentral:rRNA from 1 species
AAACCUUGACAGCCCCUCACCAUCGCUGUCCGCCUGAGAAUUACGAGCACUAGCUUAAAACUCAAAGGACUUGGCGGCACUUAAAACCCAACUAGAGGAGCCUGUUCUAAAACCGAAACCCCCCGUUAAACCUCACCCUCCCUUGCCCCCGCCGUCUAUAUACCGCCGUCGUCAGCCUACCCUGUGAAGGAUCCAUAGUGAACAGAAUCGGCACACCCUAAAACGUCAGGUCGAGGUGUAGCAUAUGGGAGGGGAAGAAAUGGGCUACAUUCUCUACCAUCAGAGCACACGAAAAAUGAACUGAAAUAGUCAUUAGAAGGAGGAUUUAGUAGUAAGUGAUAACUAGAGUGUCCA